rnacentral:rRNA from 1 species
UAGGGAAUUGUUCGCAAUGGGCGCAAGCCUGACGACGCAACGCCGCGUGGAGGAUGAAGACCUUCGGGUCGUAAACUCCUUUCGACCGAGAUGAAUACCCACCGACCCAACACGUCGGUGGGCUGACAGUAUCGAGGGAAGAAGCCCCGGCUAACUCCGUGCCAGCAGCCGCGGUAAUACGGGGGGGGCAAGCGUUGUUCGGAAUUACUGGGCGUAAAGGGUUCGUAGGUGGCCUGCUAAGUCACACGUGAAAUCCCUCAGCUUAACUGGGGAACUGCGUGUGAGACUGGCGGGCUUGAGUGCAGGAGAGGAACGCGGAAUUCCAGGUGUAGCGGUGAAAUGCGUAGAUAUCUGGAGGAACACCGGUGGCGAAGGCGGCGUUCUGGACUGCUACUGACACUGAGGAACGAAAGCCAGGGGAGCAAACGGG